rnacentral:rRNA from 1 species
AACGAACGCUGGCGGCAGGCUUAACACAUGCAAGUCGAACGCCCCGCAAGGGGAGUGGCAGACGGGUGAGUAACGCGUGGGAACGUACCUUUCAGUUCGGAAUAACUCAGGGAAACUUGUGCUAAUACCGGAUACGCUCGCAAGAGGAAAGAUUUAUCGCUGAAAGAUCGGCCCGCGUUGGAUUAGCUAGUUGGUGGGGUAAUGGCCUACCAAGGCGACGAUCCAUAGCUGGUUUGAGAGGAUGAUCAGCCACACUGGGACUGAGACACGGCCCAGACUCCUACGGGAGGCAGCAGUGGGGAAUCUUAGACAAUGGGGGAAACCCUGAUCUAGCCAUGCCGCGUGAUCGAUGAAGGCCUUAGGGUUGUAAAGAUCUUUCAGUGGGGAAGAUAAUGACUGUACCCACAGAAGAAGCCCCGGCUAACUCCGUGCCAGCCGCCGCAGUAACAC